rnacentral:rRNA from 1 species
GAUGAACGCUGGCGGCGUGCCUAAUACAUGCAAGUCGAGCGAACAGACGAGGAGCUUGCUCCUCUGACGUUAGCGGCGGACGGGUGAGUAACACGUGGAUAACCUACCUAUAAGACUGGGAUAACUUCGGGAAACCGGAGCUAAUACCGGAUAAUAUAUUGAACCGCAUGGUUCAAUAGUGAAAGACGGCUUUGCUGUCACUUAUAGAUGGAUCCGCGCCGCAUUAGCUAGUUGGUAAGGUAACGGCUUACCAAGGCAACGAUGCGUAGCCGACCUGAGAGGGUGAUCAGCCACACUGGAACUGAGACACGGUCCAGACUCCUACGGGAGGCAGCAGUAGGGAAUCUUCCGCAAUGGGCGAAAGCCUGACGGAGCAACGCCGCGUGAGUGAUGAAGGUCUUCGGGUCGUAAAGCUCUGUUAUUGGGGAAGAACAAAUGUGUAAGUAACUAUGCACGUCUUGACGGUACCUAAUCAGAAAGCCACGGCUAACUACGUG